rnacentral:lncRNA from 1 species
UUUGAUGUGUGUGGUCUACUCUGCCAUUGCUGUUUGAAUUUAAGCUACUUUAGGGUGAUGUGAACUGUGAUUUCAACCUGUAUGUGCAAGUUUAACAAUUCAUCAUUUUCUUUGUUUAUUUUGUUACUGCCGGUGCCGAGUUGUGGGUGCGUCUUACACCCUCUCGACGAUGAAUAAUAUUUGCCGUAAAAAAAUGUUAUAUAUUAUUUUUAGUAUAACUGUAU